rnacentral:sRNA from 1 species
AAUUAGAGAAGGAGGAGAAGACGGGGAGAUACGGGGGCAGGGGGUGGCAAAAGAUCAAGUAUUGAAUAGUCAGAGGAAUGUGUUCCUGGCCUGCUUGCAUGCUGUUUCUCAGUAGACUCAAAGCAGUAUGGAGAUAAAAUCAUAGAGGAGCUGCAAGAUCUAGGCCCCCAAGUGUGGAGUGAGACCAAGUCUGGGGUGGCACCCCAAAAGAUGGCAGGUGCAAGCCUGACCAAGGAUGACAGUAAGGACUCAGAUUUCUGGAAGAUGCUUAAUGAGCCAGAGGACCAGGCCCCAGGAGGGGAGGAGGUGCAGGCUGAGGAACAGGACCCAAGCCCUGAGGCAGCAGAUUCAGCUUCAGGUGCUCCCAAUGAUUUUCAGAACAAUGUGCAGGUCAAAGUCAUUCGAAGCCCUGCGGAUUUGAUUCGAUUCAUAGAGGAGCUGAAAGGUGGAACAAAAAAGGUAUAGGCCGUGCUUAGGGAAUGGGUAGAACCCACCUCCCAACUGCUAGCAUUUGAAAAACUACCCUGACCUGGGACUCAACUCCUGGGUCCCC